GUGAUUCUUUGCAGUCGCCAGAGGUAACUUGUCACGUACCUAAACCCAAAGGGAUCUGAUGGUCAAGGUGCCAUCUCAUGCGGCAAUGCCCCUGACUGGAUGCGGCGUUGAGAUGUCCAAGGCCAGUGUGGAUCAGUGGGGAAGGGGGCCUGGGGUCCCAGAAAGGGGGUGUAUCCUGGCUUUUCCAUUUUGAAAGACACAUCCCAGCGUCCCUCAGGCCUGGUGAUCAGAAGGGCUCCUAGGAGUCCCCCCCCCACCCCCGACCCCUUGCAGAGCCUUGGGCUCUUUUUCUGGGGAAGAAGUUGAAGAGAGGAGAAAAGCAUAGGGCCAAAGCAAGGUGCCCCAAGGCUGCGCCCAGACCAAUCCACUUCCCUCCCGGCAAAGAGCAAAUGCUCCCUGUGAGGAGGCGAGGCAGUGGUCAAGGGGCCAAGGUUGGGGGUGGACAAGCCCUGUAGCCCCUUGUUCCUGGGACUGGGAAAGCAUGUCCCCUGCAUCUGGCGGCCAACUAAUUACAGAAGUUGCAGCUCCUUGAGAGUUAACUCUGGGGACAGCUGCACUCCUCGCCCCUGUCUGUGUAAUUAAGUAGCAGUUGUUCCCGCUUUGUGGAACAUGGACCUGGCAGCCCCUGUGAGGUCCUGUGGGGACGCUCUCAGUCUGAUUGGCAGACAGUUGGCAGGCAGGUGCCUCUUCUGCAAUGCCUCACUUCGGGACUCAGGCCACCUGGCAUAUUCUUCUCCACCUGAAAUCACACCAUCCACCUCUCCCCACUCCCUCAGGGCCCUCGCAGUGUCACCCUGGCCAUCCUUGCUGGCCACCGAACCUAUGAUUCCCCUGAGAGUAGGUGGUCGAGCUUAGGCCCGAUGUCCAAUGCUAGGUGGGCAUUUGGAUUCGAUUCCUAAAACCUCAUCAUUUGAGUUCCAGGAUAAACUGGAAGAAACUGCCACUGUGGAGGACAAUCUCACCAUCUUGCAGAAGAGAAAAUUCCUCUUGGCAUACCCAAGGACACACCGCUGGCCAGGACAGGACUGAGGCCCACUCCAGGGCUGCUCAUGGCCAAACCUCACCGCCAUUUGAUCCUCCCGAAACCCCGCAGGGUGUUCCUCCCACAGCAGCCUGGAGCCUGGGGGGUGGCCCUCCCUUAGGCCCACUCCACUAUCUUAGCCCCCAUUUCUACCCUUCAACAUCACCUCUUAUUUAAAUUUCAUAUCUGUUUUAUUUUAUUUUUCCAGGUACUUAAAGAUCCACCUGCCUGGUAAUGAGGGGUGGGAGGUCCAUCCUUGGGACCCAGGAUAUUCUCAGUUCCACAGCCACCUCGUCUCCCUGUCUCCUCAUUCACUCUGGAGAUUCCCCAAGGACAAUCCGUACAUUCCACAAAUACUGAGUAAGUGCUGCGUACUGGGCGCUUCUCUAAGCACUUGGGGACACAGCAGAGAGCAAGAGUGACCAUUUAUCAAGGCCAGGCACUAAGUCAAGAUGGGGCAGAGGCUGGCAUGGGCAUAGGGAGCCAGGGCCAAGGGGUCAAUGGAAGGAUCUGGAAUCCUCAGUUUCUGUACUUCCUCAGGAGGGACGAGGCUGGGAUCAGAGGCCCUUGGUCCUCAUUCCACUCCUGUAGCCUGAUGGAAUUCUGCUUCCUUCUUUCCUAAAGCAUACAACCCCCUGCAUUCUUGCCUGUUUCCUUUAAAUCCUAGAUGUGGGUCUAUCUUAAGCAGCAAAUGGAAGCUGCGUCCCAGCCAGGUGGCCUGGGGAAUUGCUAUGAAGACGGCAGCUCAGACAUGAAGACGAACAGAAGGCCACCAAGGUGAUUCCCUACCCCCACCCAUGCACUCUGAGGAGGAGGACUAGGGAGCUCAGGGGCCUGAUACCUUCUGUCCUCACCCGGCCUGGGCUGUCCACAUUCAGGGACUGAAACCCCCUCCCUCCUGAGGUGAGCUGACCCAUUUCCAAGGGAGACAGGGUGCAGGAGCCUCGUUCCUUCUUACAAGGGUGAAGUACAACCUGCCUCUGCAAUCCACACUCUCAUGAAGCCGUCAAACGAUUGCCUUUGCAGUGUGAAAACCUGACCCCCAGACCCCCAGGCCCCCAAACCCAACGGCUCCUCCUCUGCAGCCCAAGCACCUCCAGGUCCCCGUGUCCAAAGGGCAAGUGCCUGGACCAGCCCAGCACGCCCUGCUAAGUCCUGCAUGUGCUCAGGGAGGCCCUCGACAGAGGAAAGCCGAGUGCUCACCUCCGCGUUCCACCAGGAAUGUCCCCCAGAGCCCACUGUCAUGCUGCUGUCAAGUCUCCAGGUCCCCAGAACUUGCUUCCAGUCAUCCAAGGAAAGCAGCCAUUUCCCUUGGCGGUGUCUUCUUCCUGCCCCUCUGGGCUGCCUGUCCUGCCUGCUCACAGCAGGUCCUACACUUGGUGAGAGGGACCCUCCUCCCCUGUGAGGCUCACGCCCUGUGCUGCUCCUGCUAAGGAGGGAAAUGAGCUGGGGAUCCGAUACCCUGUUGUGACACUCCCCUCUCAGUUGGCUUCUGGAGUCUUCCUCCUCGAGGGCUCCACCAGCCUGGCUUCCUAAACACACACUCACUGUGAAUGCUGAGAGAUGGCCUGGGCCAGGACAGGCAGGUGUGCAGAGGACCACUGAAAAACAGGCAGAGGAGCACACCCCACCCAAAAGGGGCUCUGGCCAAAGCAGGACGGUGCAGGCAGCAGGCCAGGAAAGGAAAGAGCAGCGGGAUGCUGUCCUUAGUCUCUUGUUUGGGCUUCAGGCUUAGGGUGCAGAUAAAAAUGAGGAAGAAUGAAGGGCAAAGGGUCCUGAUUGUCCCAAGUCCAGGCUUAGUUUCAAAACCUGGUAUCGGGGUCACUUGCAUCCACACCCUGAGCCUCGGUUUCCUCAUCUGCAAAAGGAAAGACAUGGGUGGAGUCUCAAAACAUGGGCAGGGCUUGAAGAAAGGUAGAGUCCCAGCCCCACCUGGGGCUGAGGGUGUGGUCAGCCAGGCUUAUUUGUGAGGAGCUGUCCUGAGCAAGUCAGAGAAGG
rnacentral:lncRNA from 1 species